AGAGGCAGACCAGGGGAACUGAAACAUCUAAGUACCCUGAGGAAGAGAAAACAAUAGUGAUUCCGUCAGUAGCGGCGAGCGAACGCGGAACAGCCUAAACCAAGGGGCUUGCCCCUUGGGGUUGUGGGACGUCUCACAUGGAGUUACAAAGGAAUAUGGUAGGCGAAGAGGUCUGGAAAGGCCCGCGAUAGAGGUAAAAGCCCUGUAGCCUAAACUGUGUUCUCUCCGAGACGGAUCCCGAGUAGUGCGGGGCACGUGAAACCCCGUAUGAAUCCAGCAGGACCAUCUGCUAAGGCUAAAUACUACCUGGCGACCGAUAGUGAAACAGUACCGUGAGGGAAAGGUGAAAAGCACCCCGGAAGGGGAGUGAAAUAGAACCUGAAACCGUGUGCUUACAAAAAGUCAGAGCCCGAUCUAUGGGUGAUGGCGUGCCUUUUGUAGAAUGAACCGGCGAGUUACGUUUAACAUGCAAGGUUAAGGUGAGAAGCCGGAGCCGCAGCGAAAGCGAGUCUGAAUAGGGCGACUAAGUAUGUGGACGUAGACCCGAAACCGUGUGAUCUACCCCUGUCCAGGGUGAAGGUGCGGUAACACGCACUGGAGGCCCGAACCCACGCAUGUUGAAAAAUGCGGGGAUGAGGUGGGGGUAGCGGAGAAAUUCCAAUCGAACUCGGAGAUAGCUGGUUCUCCCCGAAAUAGCUUUAGGGCUAGCCUCGGUGAAUGGAGUGGUGGAGGUAGAGCACUGAUUGGGUGCGGGGCCCGCAAGGGUUACCAAGCUCAGUCAAACUCCGAAUGCCAUUAACUUCUUGCCGGGAGUCAGACAGUGAGUGCUAAGAUCCAUUGUCAAAAGGGAAACAGCCCAGACCAUCAGCUAAGGUCCCCAAGUGUGUGUUAAGUGGGAAAGGAUGUGGAGUUGCACAGACAACCAGGAUGUUGGCUUAGAAGCAGCCACCAUUGAAAGAGUGCGUAAUAGCUCACUGGUCGAGUGACUCUGCGCCGAAAAUGUAACGGGGCUAAACACACCACCGAAGCUAUGGCUAGAUGCAGAGGCAGACCAGGGGAACUGAAACAUCUAAGUACCCUGAGGAAGAGAAAACAAUAGUGAUUCCGUCAGUAGCGGCGAGCGAACGCGGAACAGCCUAAACCAAGGGGCUUGCCCCUUGGGGUUGUGGGACGUCUCACAUGGAGUUACAAAGGAAUAUGGUAGGCGAAGAGGUCUGGAAAGGCCCGCGAUAGAGGUAAAAGCCCUGUAGCCUAAACUGUGUUCUCUCCGAGACGGAUCCCGAGUAGUGCGGGGCACGUGAAACCCCGUAUGAAUCCAGCAGGACCAUCUGCUAAGGCUAAAUACUACCUGGCGACCGAUAGUGAAACAGUACCGUGAGGGAAAGGUGAAAAGCACCCCGGAAGGGGAGUGAAAUAGAACCUGAAACCGUGUGCUUACAAAAAGUCAGAGCCCGAUCUAUGGGUGAUGGCGUGCCUUUUGUAGAAUGAACCGGCGAGUUACGUUUAACAUGCAAGGUUAAGGUGAGAAGCCGGAGCCGCAGCGAAAGCGAGUCUGAAUAGGGCGACUAAGUAUGUGGACGUAGACCCGAAACCGUGUGAUCUACCCCUGUCCAGGGUGAAGGUGCGGUAACACGCACUGGAGGCCCGAACCCACGCAUGUUGAAAAAUGCGGGGAUGAGGUGGGGGUAGCGGAGAAAUUCCAAUCGAACUCGGAGAUAGCUGGUUCUCCCCGAAAUAGCUUUAGGGCUAGCCUCGGUGAAUGGAGUGGUGGAGGUAGAGCACUGAUUGGGUGCGGGGCCCGCAAGGGUUACCAAGCUCAGUCAAACUCCGAAUGCCAUUAACUUCUUGCCGGGAGUCAGACAGUGAGUGCUAAGAUCCAUUGUCAAAAGGGAAACAGCCCAGACCAUCAGCUAAGGUCCCCAAGUGUGUGUUAAGUGGGAAAGGAUGUGGAGUUGCACAGACAACCAGGAUGUUGGCUUAGAAGCAGCCACCAUUGAAAGAGUGCGUAAUAGCUCACUGGUCGAGUGACUCUGCGCCGAAAAUGUAACGGGGCUAAACACACCACCGAAGCUAUGGCUAGGAUCGACUUCACUGCGCCUUUGAGGCGUGUUUAUCCGGAUUGACAUUGAUGCCGUACAUCAUCCACAGGGAUGAAAGGCUAAAUGCUUCCAGGGGAUAAACACAAGGCUUCGAAGCUGGAGUGAAGUCGAUCCUGGGGUAGGGGAGCGUUGUAUGUAGGUUGAAGGUGUACCGUAAGGAGCGCUGGACAGCAUACAAGUGAGAAUGCCGGUAUGAGUAACGAAAAGAUCAGUGAGAAUCUGAUCCGCCGAAAGCCCAAGGUUUCCUGAGGAAGGCUCGUCCGCUCAGGGUAAGUCGGGACCUAAGGCGAGGCCGAAAGGCGUAGUCGAAGGACAACAGUUUGAAAUUACUGUACCACCGUAAUCCGCUAUGAGCGAUGGGGUGACGCAGGAGGGUAGUGACGCGGACUGAUGGAUAUGUCCGUCUAAGCAGUGAAGAGGCAGACCAGGGGAACUGAAACAUCUAAGUACCCUGAGGAAGAGAAAACAAUAGUGAUUCCGUCAGUAGCGGCGAGCGAACGCGGAACAGCCUAAACCAAGGGGCUUGCCCCUUGGGGUUGUGGGACGUCUCACAUGGAGUUACAAAGGAAUAUGGUAGGCGAAGAGGUCUGGAAAGGCCCGCGAUAGAGGUAAAAGCCCUGUAGCCUAAACUGUGUUCUCUCCGAGACGGAUCCCGAGUAGUGCGGGGCACGUGAAACCCCGUAUGAAUCCAGCAGGACCAUCUGCUAAGGCUAAAUACUACCUGGCGACCGAUAGUGAAACAGUACCGUGAGGGAAAGGUGAAAAGCACCCCGGAAGGGGAGUGAAAUAGAACCUGAAACCGUGUGCUUACAAAAAGUCAGAGCCCGAUCUAUGGGUGAUGGCGUGCCUUUUGUAGAAUGAACCGGCGAGUUACGUUUAACAUGCAAGGUUAAGGUGAGAAGCCGGAGCCGCAGCGAAAGCGAGUCUGAAUAGGGCGACUAAGUAUGUGGACGUAGACCCGAAACCGUGUGAUCUACCCCUGUCCAGGGUGAAGGUGCGGUAACACGCACUGGAGGCCCGAACCCACGCAUGUUGAAAAAUGCGGGGAUGAGGUGGGGGUAGCGGAGAAAUUCCAAUCGAACUCGGAGAUAGCUGGUUCUCCCCGAAAUAGCUUUAGGGCUAGCCUCGGUGAAUGGAGUGGUGGAGGUAGAGCACUGAUUGGGUGCGGGGCCCGCAAGGGUUACCAAGCUCAGUCAAACUCCGAAUGCCAUUAACUUCUUGCCGGGAGUCAGACAGUGAGUGCUAAGAUCCAUUGUCAAAAGGGAAACAGCCCAGACCAUCAGCUAAGGUCCCCAAGUGUGUGUUAAGUGGGAAAGGAUGUGGAGUUGCACAGACAACCAGGAUGUUGGCUUAGAAGCAGCCACCAUUGAAAGAGUGCGUAAUAGCUCACUGGUCGAGUGACUCUGCGCCGAAAAUGUAACGGGGCUAAACACACCACCGAAGCUAUGGCUAGAUGCUUUGCAUCUGGGGUAGGGGAGCGUUGUAUGUGGGUUGAAGGUGUACCGUAAGGAGCGCUGGACAGCAUACAAGUGAGAAUGCCGGUAUGAGUAACGAAAAGAUCAGUGAGAAUCUGAUCCGCCGAAAGCCCAAGGUUUCCUGAGGAAGGCUCGUCCGCUCAGGGUAAGUCGGGACCUAAGGCGAGGCCGAAAGGCGUAGUCGAAGGACAACAGUUUGAAAUUACUGUACCACCGUAAUCCGCUAUGAGCGAUGGGGUGACGCAGGAGGGUAGUGACGCGGACUGAUGGAUAUGUCCGUCUAAGCAGUGAAGCUGAUGUGUAGGCAAAUCCGCACAUCAAUAAGGCUGGGCUGUGAUGGGGAGCGAAAAUUGUAGUAGCGAAGCUGGGGUAGGGGAGCGUUGUAUGUAGGUUGAAGGUGUACCGUAAGGAGCGCUGGACAGCAUACAAGUGAGAAUGCCGGUAUGAGUAACGAAAAGAUCAGUGAGAAUCUGAUCCGCCGAAAGCCCAAGGUUUCCUGAGGAAGGCUCGUCCGCUCAGGGUAAGUCGGGACCUAAGGCGAGGCCGAAAGGCGUAGUCGAAGGACAACAGUUUGAAAUUACUGUACCACCGUAAUCCGCUAUGAGCGAUGGGGUGACGCAGGAGGGUAGUGACGCGGACUGAUGGAUAUGUCCGUCUAAGCAGUGAAGCUGAUGUGUAGGCAAAUCCGCACAUCAAUAAGGCUGGGCUGUGAUGGGGAGCGAAAAUUGUAGUAGCGAAGGUCAUGAUCUCACACUGCCAAGAAAAGCCUCUAGCCAGGAGAAGGUGCCCGUACCGCAAACCGACACAGGUAGGCGAGAAGAGAAUUCUAAGGCGCGCGGAAGAACUCUCGUUAAGGAACUCGGCAAAAUGACCUCGUAACUUCGGGAGAAGAGGUGCCUCGGUAGGGUGAAUAGCCCGAGGGGGCCGCAGUGAAAAGGCCCAAGCGACUGUUUAGCAAAAACACAGGUCUGUGCGAAGCCGCAAGGCGAAGUAUACGGGCUGACGCCUGCCCGGUGCUGGAAGGUUAAGGGGAGUGGUUAGGCCGAAGCUGUGAACCGAAGCCCCAGUAAACGGCGGCCGUAACUAUAACGGUCCUAAGGUAGCGAAAUUCCUUGUCAGGUAAAUUCUGACCCGCACGAAUGGCGUAACGACUUGGGCGCUGUCUCAACGAGAGAUCCGGUGAAAUUUUAAUACCUGUGAAGAUGCAGGUUACCCGCGACAAGACGGAAAGACCCCAUGGAGCUUUACUGCAGCUUGAUAUUGAAUUUGGGUACGAUCUGUACAGGAUAGGUGGGAGCCGUUGAGGCAGGAGCGCAAGCUUCUGCGGAGGCGCCGUUGGGAUACCACCCUGAUCGUAUCUAGGUUCUAACCUAGUGCCCUUACCGGGUACGGGGACCGUGUCAGGCGGGCAGUUUGACUGGGGCGGUCGCCUCCUAAAGAGUAACGGAGGCGUUCAAAGGUUCCCUCAGAAUGGUUGGAAAUCAUUCGCAGAGUGCAAAGGCAUAAGGGAGCUUGACUGCGAGACCUACAAGUCGAGCAGGGACGAAAGUCGGACUUAGUGAUCCGGUGGUACCGCAUGGAAGGGCCAUCGCUCAACGGAUAAAAGCUACCCUGGGGAUAACAGGCUUAUCUCCCCCAAGAGUCCACAUCGACGGGGAGGUUUGGCACCUCGAUGUCGGCUCAUCGCAUCCUGGGGCUGAAGUAGGUCCCAAGGGUUGGGCUGUUCGCCCAUUAAAGCGGUACGCGAGCUGGGUUCAGAACGUCGUGAGACAGUUCGGUCCCUAUCUGUCGUGGGCGCAGGAAAUUUGAGAGGAGCUGUCCUUAGUACGAGAGGACCGGGAUGGACGUACCGCUGGUGCAUCAGUUGUUCCGCCAGGAGCAUGGCUGAGUAGCUACGUACGGACGGGAUAAGCGCUGAAAGCAUCUAAGCGUGAAGCCCCCCUCAAGAUGAGAUUUCCCAAUUAGUAAGACCCCUUGAAGACGACGAGGUAGAUAGGUUGGAGGUGGAAGUGCAGCAAUGCAUGGAGCUGACCAAUACUAAUCGGUCGAGGGCUUAUCCAAAUU
rnacentral:rRNA from 1 species